CCCGGGCCUCGAACCCGGGAACUGCGGGUCACGGGAGGGUCCCGAGGUGGCCUGAGGAGGGACGCUGCGCGUUCCCAUCGAAAGCAGCCCUCGGUGAACACUUUCAUCUUCCAGACAAUUGAUUUUGAGGUCCCGCUUCUAGGUAACUCUGGAGAAAAACUAAUUCACGCACACUGUUUUAGGUUGCCAAGAAGACAAGAUCCGCCACUGGGAGAGUUUCCCCUUUUAAACGGUGUGACUCUUUAGAGUAACUUUUCUGUCAAAGUGUUUCUCCUAUUUCCCCAGUUUGAGAAAACACAUGCAGCGAUUAUUAAGCUGCAUUAUUUGCCAGUGCGCGGUUAAUAUCAAGUUUCUAAUUGUGCAUUUUGCUUUGCUUUGAGUCGUCUCCUUGCAGCCCAUCGGCGGGUCCCCUAACUGCCUUUAAGGGGCCUCUGGAACGUUCAAGUCUUGCAUAGAUUCGUUUCAGUUUCCAAAUUGCCUCUAAAUGCCCACGUUGGAAAAUGACAUUUUAAGUUAUUUGUCUGAGAAAAAAUACUUAAGUUUACACUCACGGGAUCAAACGCCAAACGCACAGGACUUGCAGUGAACGUGGUGAGUGUGCCCUCCGUGUCGUUUGCAAAAAAUUGGCGCCCUCCCCCCAAUUGAAGUUUGACCCGUGUGAGAGAUAAUCCGUUAACUCCGUUACCCCAAUAAGAAGCUGGUCUUUGGGGAUCUUUUCAGCCACCCCAAAGACACGUGGACACUUGGGGAGCAGGGAUAGGGCGAGGGCUGGGGUGGCAGCCUCGGCAGCAUCGGGAGACUGGGAGACCAGCGUGCGCUUCCUCUCGGGCACCCUGUACUAAGCUGGGCUCGGCGACACGGAGCUCCAGCACAGCACCUUGGAUAUUUCAGAGGACAUUGUACCAUAUAUAAGAUCUAUAACAUAUAUGGUCCAUUUGUACUCGUACACUGUUUAACUAUACUAUGCAUUAUAUGUUUCAUCAGAUUAUAUAUUGGCUAAUCUAUAUGCAACAUCUAGUUCCUAUAUUACAUUGUUAUAUUACUUAUUUAACAUACAGUAUGUUUUAUUGUACAUUACAUAACUUAUAUUGUAUACAGUUCUGGAUAUAUAUUUGUGCGUGUGUGUAAAGGUAUUUGGGGGAGUCUUUAAUCUCCCUGCAAAUACAUAUUUCACUAUUUUAAUAUAACUUUAUAAAGUCCUAAUCGAAACCA